rnacentral:rRNA from 1 species
CCAGCUCCAAUAGCGUAUAUUAAAGUUGUUGCAGUUAAAAAGCUCGUAGUUGAAUUUCGGGAUCAAUUUAUUGGUCGUGCUAUCGUACGUACUGGUAUUAUUGAUUCCUACCUUCUGACGAACCAUGAUGUCAUUAAUUUGGUGUCAUGGGAAUCAGGACUGUUACUUUGAAAAAAUUAGAGUGUUUAAAGCAGGCUCACGCUUGAAUACAUUAGCAUGGAAUAACGAAAUAGGGCGUUUGAUUCUAUUUUGUUGGUUUCUAGGAUCGACGUAAUGAUUAAUAGGGAUAGUUGGGGGCAUUAGUAUUCAAUUGUCAGAGGUGAAAUUCUUGGAUUUAUUGAAGACUAAACUACUGCGAAAGCAUUUGCCAAGGAUGUUUUCAUUAAUCAAGAACGAAGGUUAGGGGAUCGAAGACGAUCAGAUACCGUCGUAGUCUUAACCAUAAACUAUGCCGACUAGGGAUCGGAUGAUGUUAAUUUUUUAAUGACUCAUUCGGCGCCUUACG